GAGCGCCCCGCGCCGUCCGUCCGCCGGGGUUGGAGGAGUGGGGCUGCGAGGCCGUGUCUCGGAUCCGCAGCCUGGCAGAGUGUGCGUAAAACCCUUCCCCCGUCCGGAGGGGGCCCAGCCAGCCCGCGUCCCGCCAGCUCGGGGGGGAUCGGGGGCGGGUGUUGGUGGUUAGAGGAAACUUUCCAGCAGAGCGCCUUGCCGGAGCGAACCGCGCAUCUGCCGAGAUCGCUCCCUGGGCGCCCCUGCAAGCAGCUUCUGUUCCAGAGCGGUAGGAGCAGAAGGGAAGCGAAGGUUUGUGCGUCUGACCGCUAACGCUGAGGACCGGUGGGAAAAUCACACACCCCUCGGCCCCCCCAGCUAAUGAAUGUGAAGAAACAGAGGCUCAGAGGGAGUAAGAAGCUAACCCAAGGGCUCAAGGUGACACAGCAAAACUGGAACCUGAAACCAGAGAUUUGCCUGGGCAGCAGAGGCUGUUGGUGGAGGCUUGGCUCCAGCACAAGGAGGCAGCAAGUCGUAUUGCUGGAAAGUGCUCUGCCGAUUGACCUCAGCUUCAGGGGCCUGCGAAGCGGGGCCAUUGACAACAUCGGCAAAUCCCAAAGUAAUCUCCAGCUGCUUUGAUCUCCUAAGUACCCUGCUGCCCUGGACGCCCGCUGCCAUGGCCAGGUGGGAAGCGGGAAGACUCCUUGUCAGUGGGAGAGAGGAAGAAGAGGAAGAAGGAAGAGAGGAAGAAGAGCCCCGAGGACUGGCAGCCGGGUGAGCUCUGCACAUCUUCCUACUUACGCUGACCAUGGGGGGCAGUUUCUCUUUGUCUCCGAUUCUGCAUCCUGUGAAUGGAGGGCACAGUCCCUCCUGCCCCCGCCACCCCCCCGGAGCCAGCCUCCGUGUGGAGGACACUACUGGCACUGCCCCCACCCCCGGACCUGCUCGGAGCUGGCUCCCCAGCACUCCUGUGCACCCAUUCCCGGGGUUUCAGGGUUUCGGGGUGCUUUGCUUCCAAAGACUCCAACUGGAGACCUCCUUUUCAGUGGGUUGCCCUUGGGCUGGGGUAGCUGCUUCUCCCCGCUCUUGCUGGGUUCUCCUGGGAGCACCUCCGCUGUAAAUCCCUCCCACCCGAAGCUUCCCCUGAGCCUACAUCUAGUGAACCCAACUGAAGACAGUUUCCAAAAGCAUUUUGCAAAUUUGCACGUGAGACACGUGCUUGUAAGCAGUUACCAUUUGAAGUCGCUUCAGAACUGACUGUACAAAUCUUACUUCUCUGAAUUAUUGGGGUCCGGACAGAACGAGAGGCCAAAGGGGACCUGACGCUGGUUGUUCUAUAAUGUACUGAGCACCACCCCACCCCCUGACUCUGUGCUUACCACCCCAUCACCAGAUUGACUGGGAGCCUUCAUCUUCUUGGGCCUCUGGGGGCCUCCACUGCUGCUCUGUCAGCUAAGGCUGCACUGUUUUCCACCCCAGGGGUCGUCAGCUUAUUCCCACUACGGUCCCUGCAUGACCUUUCUCAGGGCUCCAGGAAAAAGCCAAGUCUUGAGCGUCGGACAAGGGCCCAGGCCGGAUUCAUUUUUGAGAAUCAUGUAAACAAGGUGCAUGCUUUUGGAAAUUGUCAAGGGGGCAAAUCAUGAACUCAGAUUUUUUUUUUUUUGAACUCAGAUUUUUGAUCAACAAAACUUAAAUAGAAACA
rnacentral:lncRNA from 1 species